rnacentral:rRNA from 1 species
GACGAACGCUGGCGGCGUGCCUAAUACAUGCAAGUCGAGCGAACUGAAGAGAGCUUGCUCUCUGAAGUUAGCGGCGGACGGGUGAGUAACACGUGGGCAACCUGCCUGUAAGACUGGGAUAACUUGCGGAAACGUGAGCUAAUACCGGAUACGCUUUUAUAUUCUCCUGAAUGUGAAAGGAAAGAUGGCUUUUGCUAUCACUUACAGAUGGGGCCCGCGGCGCAUUAGCUAGUUGGUGAGGUAACGGCUCACCAAGGCGACGAUGCGUAGCCGACCUGAGAGGGUGAUCGGCCACACUGGGACUGAGACACGGCCCAGACUCCUACGGGUGCUG